rnacentral:lncRNA from 1 species
UGAUACGAUCCUGACAAGAUCCAAGAAGAAGAAUUGGAAGACGCGAAAGUGUACGAGUUUAAAGACAUUAUUCGAGCUGUCCUUGGAGAGAAAAUGGUUGAAUAAGACCAUUGAAGAGUUCAUGGUUUGGAAUUGGAAGAAAAGGAAAAGGAAAUUCGUUGGCCAAGUCGAAUUUCAUGCAUCCCGAAAGUUUCGUAUGAUUCUGG